rnacentral:tRNA from 1 species
GCCCGGUUAGCUCAGUUGGUAGAGCAUCAGACUUUUAAUCUGAGGGCCAUGGGUUCGAGUCCCAUAUAGGGCU